rnacentral:rRNA from 1 species
UACGGGGGGGGCAAGCGUUGUUCGGAAUUACUGGGCGUAAAGAGCUCGUAGGCGGCUUGUCACGUCGGUUGUGAAAGCCCGGGGCUUAACCCCGGGUCUGCAGUCGAUACGGGCAGGCUAGAGUGUGGUAGGGGAGAUCGGAAUUCCUGGUGUAGCGGUGAAAUGCGCAGAUAUCAGGAGGAACACCGGUGGCGAAGGCGGAUCUCUGGGCCAUUACUGACGCUGAGGAGCGAAAGCGUGGGGAGCGAACAGG